rnacentral:rRNA from 1 species
AUGAACGCUGGCGGCGUGCCUAAUACAUGCAAGUCGAGCGAACGGACGAGAAGCUUGCUUCUCUGAUGUUAGCGGCGGACGGGUGAGUAACACGUGGAUAACCUACCGAUAAGACUGGGAUAACUUCGGGAAACCGGAGCUAAUACCGGAUAAUAUUUUGAACCGCAUGGUUCAAAAGUGAAAGACGGUCUUGCUGUCACUUAUAGAUGGAUCCGCGCUGCAUUAGCUAGUUGGUAAGGUAACGGCUUACCAAGGCAACGAUGCAUAGCCGACCUGAGAGGGUGAUCGGCCACACUGGAACUGAGACACGGUCCAGACUCCUACGGGAGGCAGCAGUAGGGAAUCUUCCGCAAAGGGCGAAAGCCUGACGGAGCAACGCCGCGUGAGUGAUGAAGGUCUUCGGAUCGUAAAACUCUGUUAUUAGGGAAGAACAUAUGUGUAAGUAACUGUGCACAUCUUGACGGUACCUAAUCAGAAAGCCACGGCUAACUACGUG